AAGUCGUAACAAGGUUUCCGUAGGUGAACCUGCGGAAGGAUCAUUUCCGAGAUUGUACCUUUUCCUUUUGUUCUUGUAGAGUUUAGAGGGGCUUAACACCCUUUUGGAUUCGACGGGAUGAAAAGAAAGGUAUAUCAAAGAGAGAAUGUGGUAUAUAUGCGCGAUUCCUUUUGCUAUUCUUCUAGUCUUUGGACUGGUCGAAAAAGGAAAAGGUUUCAUUUUCUAAACAAUAAAAACCAAGGUUACUAUUGUGUACAUUCAAAAAAAAAUACAUAAACAAAAUACAACUGUCAACGGUGGAUCUCUUGGCUCGU
rnacentral:misc_RNA from 1 species